GCGGCGUGCUUAACCAUGCAAGUCGAACGGACUUAAGGGGCUUGCUUCUUAAGUUAGUGGCGCACGGGUGAGUAAUAUAUAGCUAACCUGCCCUUUAGUGGGGGACAACAGUUGGAAACGGCUGCUAAUACCCUAUACUCCUUCUUGCCUUAAGGUGAGUCGGGAAAGAUUUAUCGCUAAAGGAUGGGGCUUUAUUGUAUCAGCUAGUUGGUGAGGUAAUGGCUCACCAAGGCUAUGACGCAUACCUGGUCUGAGAGGAUGAUCAGGCACACUGGAACUGAGACACGGUCCAGACUCCUACGGGAGGCAGCAGUGGGGAAUAUUGCACAAUGGAGGAAACUCUGAUGCAGCAACGCCGCGUGGAGGAUGACGCAUUUCGGUGUGUAAACUCCUUUUAUAGGGGAAGAUAAUGACGGUACCCUAUGAAUAAGCACCGGCUAACUCCGUGCCAGCAGCCGCGGUAAUACGGAGGGUGCAAGCGUCACUCGGAAUCACUGGGCGUAAAGGAUGCGUGGGCUGGAAAUCAAGUCGAAAGUGAAAUCCAACGGCUCAACCGUUGAACUGCUUGCG
rnacentral:rRNA from 1 species